rnacentral:rRNA from 1 species
UUUAUGGAGAGUUUGAUCCUGGCUCAGGAUGAACGCUGGCGGCGUGCCUAAUACAUGCAAGUCGAGCGAACAGACGGGGAGCUUGCUCCCCCGACGUUAGCGGCGGACGGGUGAGUAACACGUGGGUAACCUACCUAUAAGACUGGAAUAACUCCGGGAAACCGGGGCUAAUACCGGAUAACAUGAUGGACCGCAUGGUCCUACAGUGUAAGACGGUUUUGCUGUCACUUAUAGAUGGAACCGCGCCGGAUUAGCUAGCUGGUAAGGUAACGGCUUACCAAGGCAACGA